GAUUAACGCUGGCGGCGUGCAUAACACAUGCAAGUCGAACGAUGAAACUUUUUUGAUUUCUUCGGAAUGAAAAAAAGUGGAUUAGUGGCGGACGGGUGAGUAACGCGUGAGUAACCUGCCUUAGAGAAGGGGAUAGCCUUUGGAAACGAAGAAUAAUACCCUAUGAAACCAUAACCUCGCAUGAGGCCUUGGUCAAAGAUUUAUCGCUCUAAGAUGGACUUGCGUCUGAUUAGUUAGUUGGUGGGGUAACGGCCUACCAAGACAGCGAUCAGUAGCCGGCUCGAGAGAGUGUACGGCCACAUUGGGACUGAGACACGGCCCAGACUCCUACGGGAGGCAGCAGUGGGGAAUUUUGCACAAUGGGGGAAACCCUGAUGCAGCGACGCCGCGUGAUUUAGAAGGCCUUCGGGUUGUAAAAAUCUUUUCUAUGGGAAGAAAAUGACAGUACCAUAGGAAUAAGGACCGGCUAAUUACGUGCCAGCAGCCGCGGUAAUACGUAAGGUCCGAGCGUUGUCCGGAAUCAUUGGGCGUAAAGGGUACGUAGGCGGGUAAGCAAGUUAGAAGUGAAAUCCUAUAGCUCAACUAUAGUAAGCUUUUAAAACUGCUCAUCUUGAGGUAUGGAAGGGAAAGUGGAAUUCCUAGUGUAGCGGUGAAAUGCGCAGAUAUUAGGAGGAAUACCGGUGGCGAAGGCGACUUUCUGGCCAUAACCUGACGCUGAGGUACGAAAGCGUGGGUAGCAAACAGG
rnacentral:rRNA from 1 species